rnacentral:rRNA from 1 species
UACAGAGGGUGCGAGCGUUAAUCGGAAUUACUGGGCGUAAAGCGCGCGUAGGCGGCUAAACAAGUUGGGUGUGAAAGCCCCGGGCUCAACCUGGGAACGGCACUCAAAACUGUUUGGCUAGAGUACAGCAGAGGUAAGUGGAAUUUCCGGUGUAGCAGUGAAAUGCGUAGAGAUCGGAAGGAACACCAGUGGCGAAGGCGGCUUACUGGGCUGAUACUGACGCUGAGGCGCGAAGGCGUGGGGAGCAAACAGG